rnacentral:rRNA from 1 species
GACGAACGCUGGCGGCGUGCUUAACACAUGCAAGUCGAACGGAAAGGCCCUGCUUUUGUGGGGUGCUCGAGUGGCGAACGGGUGAGUAACACGUGAUUAACCUGCCCUUGACUUUGGGAUAACUUCAGGAAACUGGGGCUAAUACCGGAUAGGAGCUCCUGCUGCAUGGUGGGUGUUGGAAAGUUUCGGCGGUUGGGGAUGGACUCGCGGCUUAUCAGCUUGUUGGUGGGGUAGUGGCUUACCAAGGCUUUGACGGGUAGCCGGCCUGAGAGGGUGACCGGCAACAUAGGGAAUGAGAUAAGGCCCAGACUCCUACGGGAGGCAGAAGUGGGGAAGAUUGCACAAUGGGCGGAAGAAUGAUGCAGCAACGCCGCGUGCGGGAUGACGGACUUCGGGUUGUAAACCGCUUGCGCCUGUGACGAAGCGUGAGUGACGGUAAUGGGUAAAGAAGCACCGGCUAACUACGUG